rnacentral:lncRNA from 1 species
GGCCUUGGUCUCCUGCUUGCUGGGGGUCCAUCUCUUCGCCUUUCAUACCGUCUGCUUUCAUAUUUGGAUGUCCUCCGCUCUUUUGGUUGGUAGGUUGGGUAAGUGCAUGGAAUUAUCUCUCCGUUUAUGUAUUUAUCACCUGAAUUGUGAAAGGAUUGAGAUUUUUUAUUUAAGAAGCAACAACUAAUUGAUUAUGCAAAUAACCAGCUGCAGACAAUAAUGUUGAACUAACCCCCGUAGUCUUUGUUCUUGACAUCGAUGUAGGAAUCAGGAAGCACCCACAGAACGCCGGGUAAACCUACAGGUAAUAGAACAAUAGUUUGAACCAGGGCAAUCCAAAAAUGUUUAGACUUGGUUAAAUACUGAGGCAACCAGUAUAUUAGCAAAUACCCUUGAACUUCUCUGAUGUUUCCUCGUCGACAGUGCACUGGAAACCAGUGUAGGUGGUUGUGCUGAAGGCAUACAUGUUCUUCUUGGCUUCCUCCAUGCUGUGAUUGCAAACAUAUGCUCAGUAUCAAGAAAAUGAACUAAAGGCAGAAAAUUACAAAACUGUAGGCCUGGUUUAUAGUAUAGCAAUGCUGAUUUCAGACAUAGCACCGAUGAUAACUUCACCAACGUGCAGUGACCAGCAAAGAAUACCUAAACAAAUAAUCAACCAUUCCUUGUGUUUACGCAAGAAAUUUUAAUCCUUGUGAAUCGUCAAGCAUAAACUGUGCAACAUAUAGACAUGUCUACCAAUCUACUACACACUUGUUUCUUCAACAAAUUAUCAUGCAAAAUUUGCAACCACCUAUAGAAUGUAAAGCUUUUUUACAUUUUACCAAAAACGUGCGCUCCAAUUAAAAUUUCGACUAUCAUAAUUUACAAUCGAAACAAAAUUUAUUAUGUUUGAGUGAAGCAUGAAACAAACAUUUCUCUCGAGAUUACUCUACCGACUUAGUCAGUCAGUCAGUCAGUCCUUGCAAAUUGGCAACCAAACUAGGUGAGUCAAAGAGAGGUGGAGAUCUUGACAAUGAGGAUGAGAAAUUUUACAUAAUUAUACCUGCCAAGGACGGUGGCGAGGGUGUUGAGGUAGGUGUCGAUCAUCUGCUCCCGCGUCGGGGCGGGGUCCUUGGGGAACUCCAUCACGAUCAGCCAGUGGUUGUAGUCGCACCCGGGGAGCAGUAUCGUCUCCCUCUGCUCGCUCCCCGUCCCCGCCCCCGCCGCCGCGGCCACCACCGGCUGCCUCGCCUUCCCGCUUCCUCGCACAGCCAGCGUCGGGAACGCCGCCGCCGCGGCGGUGCGGGGGAAGAGCGCGGAUGGUGCGGCGGCGGAGGAGGAUGGCUUCGGCGCGAGGGCGAAGGCGAAUGCCUGCGCGGCGGCGGCGGCGGCGGUGGUCGGGAAGGAAGCCAUGGGAGGAGGCGCGAGAGUGGGGAGAGGGAGAGGUUUACGAGUUUGGGGAUAAGGUGGGAAGAAGAAGAAGAGAAUAAAAAGGGAGAAGAAGAUAUUUUUUUUGUGAGGGUUUUUAGCCUCCUCUUUAGUGGGCCGGGCCGGGCCGGGCCAUUUUCGGCGUGGAUUUAUGGGCUGUAAUGUGUGGGCUCAGAUGGGCUUAUGGAGGCCCAAUUGUGACGGUGAUGGAAUAAGUCCCUCAUUAUUAGAUCCAAUCGGUUUUUUUUUGGUUAACCAAUCACUUUUCGGGUUUUUUUUCAGGCGAGGUGGCUAUCUGUUUUUAUUAGCGGCCAGAAGAAUAAUUAGGCUAAAAAUUAGGAUACAUUAUGAGAAAUAAAACUUCUUAGAAGAGAAGCAAAUGAAACACUUUCAUUAAAAAAUUCUCGAAUUAGGAUACAUUAUUAGAAAAUGAAACUUUCUUAGAAGAGAAGCAAAUGAAACACUUUCAUAAAAAAAAUUCUCGGCACUUUUAAAUGGCGAUUUAGCUUCCUGUAGCAAUGACAUGUUUGAUCAUGCAAGAUUACUGAUAUGUAGGUCAGAGGAGGAUAAAUACUCAUCUUAGAAUCUUGGAUCAAAAUUUACAAUUAUAAGAUCACUGGUGCCACAAAAGUGACAGAAAUAUAAAACUUAAACAUAAAUUACAGAAAUGUAGCUGUUGAAUUCCAUCUCUUUUUGUGUGUGUGUGUGCGCGCUCUAUAAACAAUCAGCAGUGUUUCAAAAGCAAAAUGGGUCUGCAGAAAUGUGUCGGCAACUGAGCAACCACACAUUCACCAUGAUGACCAAGAACAAAAAAAGGGCAGCAACCCGAAGUGAAUGGCAGAAAACACUAGAGAUGAUGUUCAACUUUCAAGCAGUGAGAAGUCAAAAGCAUUUGACCCAUUCACUACAAAUCAGAGAUGCAACAAAAUGCACAUUCAUUUCAGGAAAAAGAAAAAAAAACAUGCCGUCUCUGUCGGUGCAGAAAGUUUAAGGGUUCAAGGGAAAGUGUAUUCAUCCCUCGAGCGGAUAUCCCCUUGUAUCUAAAUAGUCAUCAAAGUGCACAGCGUUCAGUAGUGAACACUUGACACUAGCAGCUUCAAAAGAAAUGCUUAACAAUAAGCUAGUGCCAUCAGCUUUACCAUCCUGAGUGGAGGUCCAUUCCAUUCUGAAAACUUUUGGUCCUGUGCAUCCAGUCAAACACAUUCAGUUAUUGGAUUCUGAAAAACAAGAAAAAACAUAUUGCUGAUUCCUUUCUUUGCUGUUCCAAGGAUGCAGGCUUCUGGUGCCUUUGUAUGUGAGAUUCUUGCAUUUAGUUGCAGGUUUGCAGCUAUCAUCAACACAAGUGGCUGUGCAUGUAUGGGGACUUUGACAUGGUGCACCAACUCUUCCUUCCAUCUCCAUCUGCUUGACUCACCAUAUACAUCAUAGACAUAAACAGUAAAUUAAGCUGGAAGUUGCAGGAUUGCAUAGUGAAGGAAAUGACAACAGAAAUGAGGUCAUGCAGGCC